UACGGGGGGGGCAAGCGUUGUUCGGAUUUACUGGGCGUAAAGCGCACGUAGGCGGAUCUUUAAGUCAGAGGUGAAAUCCCAAGGCUCAACCUUGGAACUGCCUUUGAUACUGGGGAUCUUGAGUCCGGGAGAGGUGAGUGGAACUGCGAGUGUAGAGGUGAAAUUCGUAGAUAUUCGCAAGAACACCAGUGGCGAAGGCGGCUCACUGGCCCGGUACUGACGCUGAGGUGCGAAAGCGUGGGGAGCAAACAGG
rnacentral:rRNA from 1 species